rnacentral:lncRNA from 1 species
AUAUAUUUCAUGUAGACAAGGUAUAUAAAUUCAGGUUUAAUUUUCUAUCUCAUUUAGGAAUGAGAUAAUACAGACUUCUCUUAUAUGUUGGAUUAUUGCCCAACUCUUGUUCAUCUGGUUCCGGCAUCCUGUUUCCAAGAAGGAAAUCACCUUGACUCAAUAUGAUUCAGAACUUGCCUGAAAAAUCCAACACAAUGCAGAAAGAUGUGGAGAAACAUUUCUGAUGCCCUGCUAGUAUCCAGAGUGCUGAAAUCCCAGGCAAGCUUGGUACUUGUCAGACGUGAAGAACAGAAAACCAGUUGAGAAUUUCAAUGAUCAGUAAGAGAACUGGACAGCCACUCUCCACAACUCAGCAAUGGACAAUUUUCAGAGAAAGAAACCACAAUGGACCUACUGUCAAAUACACACAAUUCAUGGACCAAAUUUAUGUCUCCUUUCUUAUGAUCGCAAACUGGCCUGAAAACUUAAGCAGGGAUCUUGUAUCUCUUUCCCAUAAGGAUACAGCCAAGUGAUGGAAAGAAAGAAGAAAAUACCUUUAAAGUCCUCCUUUCUGGAUCUCAUCUAAUCCCUUCUUAUCCUUUUAGUAAUAAAAACAACCUCACAGCAAGUGAAAUUUCUAUA